AACGAACGCUGGCGGCAGGCUUAACACAUGCAAGUCGAGCGCCCCGCAAGGGGAGCGGCAGACGGGUGAGUAACGCGUGGGAAUCUACCCAUCUCUACAGAAUAACGCAUGGAAACGUGUGCUAAUACCGUAUACAUCCUUCGGGAGAAAGAUUUAUCGGAGAUGGAUGAGCCCGCGUUGGAUUAGCUAGUUGGUGGGGUAAAGGCCUACCAAGGCGACGAUCCAUAGCUGGUCUGAGAGGAUGAUCAGCCACACUGGGACUGAGACACGGCCCAGACUCCUACGGGAGGCAGCAGUGGGGAAUAUUGGACAAUGGGCGCAAGCCUGAUCCAGCCGUGCCGCGUGAGUGAUGAAGGCCCUAGGGUUGUAAAGCUCUUUCACCGGUGAAGAUAAUGACGGUAACCGGAGAAGAAGCCCCGGCUAACUUCGUGCCAGCCGCCGCCGUAACAC
rnacentral:rRNA from 1 species